GUUGCUUGCGACGCGCCAUCAAAGGAAAGAAGUUCGACUUUCCAGCCGGUGUAGUUCUCGGUGCCACAGCUGCGGCGCAUGUGUUUAAGUCAACCAUUAUUUAUAUUUGACUCCGUUUAAUAUAGACUGGUCGAUGAAGUCAAAUAUGAUAUAAAUCAGUGAGGAAGACGUCACUGAUUAUCACAACUGUUCAAUACGGGUUGAGUAAAAGUGUGUGUGUCACAGAGAUGCCGAACAAAGGCAAAAGAGUGAAUAAAUCUGCUGGACAGGAGAAAGAUGAAGAGGUGGUGUCUGUUAAACAGAGGAAGAUGAUGCUGACGAAAGCUUCGGCUGACGCUCCUCUGUGCUUUGAUUCGCCUCGUGAAUUCUUUCAGAGUCUCAUCAGUCCGAUGAGUGUGGAUGAGUUUUUCCAGCACCACUGGGAGAAGAAACCUUUAGUUUUACACAGAUCAGAUGCUGCAUUGGCGGAUUAUUAUCGCUCUCUGUUUCAGCUAUCUGACCUGCAGCAGCUUUGCUCUCGCGGGCUGCAGUUCGGUACAGAUCUCAAUAUCUGCCGCUGUAUCGACGGCAAGAAGAAAGUGUUAAACAAAGAUGGACGAGUGAAGUUCAGUCAGCUGAAAAAAGACUUUGACCAGAAGAAAGCCACUAUGCAGUUUCACCAGCCUCAGAGGUUUAAGGAUGAGUUGUGGCGCAUUCAGGAGCGCUUGGAGUGUUUCUUCGGCUCUCUGGUCGGUUCUAAUGUGUACAUCACGCCUGAAGACUCUCAGGGUUUGCCGCCACACUAUGAUGAUGUUGAGGUCUUCAUUCUUCAGCUGGAGGGACAGAAGCACUGGAGGCUUUAUAAGCCCACCGUCCAUCUUGCCCGCGAGUACAGCCUGGAACCAGAGGAACAUAUUGGCACCCCCACGCAUGACAUCAUACUGCAGGCUGGUGACUUGCUCUAUUUCCCAAGAGGAACCAUCCACCAGGCGAACACACCUUCAGGUGUGGAUCAUUCCACACACCUCACACUCAGCACCUACCAAAACACGUCAUGGGGUGACUUCAUGCUAGAUGUGUUUCCUAGUUUCUUAUUUGAUUCUAUGAAAAGUGACCACAGGCUGCGCUGUGGUCUGCCACAAAACCUCCUUACUUGUCCGAGUUUUGGUCCUGACAUUAAUAAACAGGUAUGUGUGUUUCUGCGGCAUUUGGCUGAUCGUCUUGAGCAGGAACACAAGGAGUUACGCUCCACUGACAUGAAGAGAGAUUUCAUCUCAAACAGACUCCCACCUUUCCUGCUGGACCAGGCCGAUCUUGAGCCAGCUGGAAAACUGCCAGCAUUAGACGACACAGUAUGUAUCAAGUUUAAAGAGCAUCUUCUUCUAACAGUGGAACCCAGUCAAGAUGACACUGGCUGUGACGGUGGCAGUUGUUUACCACCGCGGUGGUUGAGAAAUAUACAGUUAGGGCCAUAAAUAUUUGGACAGAGGCACCUUUUUUGUUAUUUUAGCUGUGUAUCAAUAUGUUUUCGAGUUACAGUUUUAUAAUGGAUAUUGUCUUAAAGUGCACACUCUCAGCUUUAUUUAGAGUGUAUUCACAUCCAGAUUAGUUGAAGGAUUUAGGAAUUACAGCUCUUUAAUAUGAAGCGCCCCCCUUUUUCAAGGGACCAAAAGUAAUUGGACAGUUGAAUAAAAAGCUGUUUUAUUCACAUGUAUGGGCUUUUCCUUAAAUCAUUUUGUCAUAAAUGAAGCAUGUUAAAGGUCUGGAGUUGAUUCUACAUGUGGUGUUUGCAUUUGGAAGCUGUUGCUGUGAACCCACAUCAUGGGGUUCAGGGAGAUCUCCAUGUAAGUGAAACAGACCAUAGUUAGAUUUUAAAAACACUACACAUCCGUCAAAAAGAUGCCAGGAACAUUAAGAGCGGCCAAAUCAACAAUUUGGUACAUUCUAAGAAAAAAAACAACACACAUUUAUGGCCCUAACUGUAUAUUAUUUAUAUAAAUAAUAUUUAUAUUAUUAUAUUUGCGUGUAGCAACCACAUAACGAGUGGAAGAGAAAUAUAGACCUUAUUUAAAUACUUGAAAUUGUUAAAUACUUGAAAUUGAAAUAUGAUAUCUGAAAUAAAUGAGGAUGAAACAUCCGUCAAUGUUUAACGCGCAAAUCCAUCAGUGAAAUGGCACACUACAGCAUAUAAAACAUUUAAAUAAACAUCAGUAAAUAAUGAAAACUUAGAUGACAUAAGAAAGCUAAAUACUAAAUAAAAAAGCUCUUGUUGCAGUAACUUCAGUCAGUGGCGUAUUAACCCUUACGGUCCUUAACAAUUCCAUUUGAAACAAACUGUUUAAACCUACAUUGGCUUUCCUAUUCAGAUUGCCAUAAAAACUUUACUUUUUCCUACUCGUUGAUGUGAAAUUUACUUGUUGACAUUGUCCAGAUUAAAAUGUGUACAGCUGCACUAAAUGCACGUUCAGAAGAUGUGCACAGGAGCGCAAAUGAAUAGAUGUCUCUCCGCAACCGCGGCAAAACCUGCGCGCGCUCCGACACUAAGCAAGCGGGUCAUAGCCAGUUUUGAUUUUACGCAUCUGUUCAUUUCACAACAAGAUCCAUUGCAAAACCCGCAGAAUAAUCUGGGUUUUGCCGUGCAGGCCCGCGCUCGAACGCACCAACGGAAACGUAUGCCAAUAAUUUCUGUUAAUGUAAAAUCUUUUAAAUAAAACCAUCCACAAUUGAAAGGCUACAACUAGCAAUCGUUAUCGUAACUCUCAUAUUUAUUACACCUAUAUUUGUCAGAGUAACGUGCACUACCGCUAGUGGCAGUUCGCCACCGUCAUGGCACUUUACCACCGCGGUGGUGCGGUUGUCACGGCCACCGUCACAGCCCUAUGUGUGUGUGUGUGUGUGUGUGUGUGUGUUUGCUUCUUAGGAUAAGGCCACAGAGUUGGCUGUGUUUGUGUUACAUUCUUUAAGAAACAAGCGAGAAACACACAUGAUGGGACUGUCUGAUGAUGAACAGGGAUCACAGUUUCAGGGUCUGCGGUUCCCGUU